CUGAAACUGACAGUACAGUGUGAAGGCUGAAACUGACUACAGUGUGAAGGCUGAAACUGGCAGUACAGUGUGGAUGCUGAAACUGACAGUACAGUGUGAAGGCUGAAACUGACAGUACAGUGUGAAGGCUGAAACUGACAGUACAGUAUGGAGGCUGAAACUGACUACAGUGUGGAGGCUGAAACUGACUACAGUGUGGAGGCUGAAACUGACAGUACAGUGUGAAGGCUGAAACUGGCAGUACAGUGUGAAGGCUGAAACUGGCAGUACAGUGUGAAGGAUGAAACUGACAGUACAGUAUGGAGGCUGAAACUGACUACACUGUGGAGGCUGAAACUGACUACAGUGUGGAGGCUGAAACUGACAGUACAGUGUGAAGGCUGAAACUGGCAGUACAGUGUGAAGGCUGAAACUGACAGUACAGUGUGAAGGCUGAAACUGGCAGUACAGUGUGAAGGAUGAAACUGACAGUACAGUCUGGAUGCUGAAACUGACUACAGUGUGGAGGCUGAAACUGACAGUACAGUGUGAAGGCUGAAACUGACUACAGUGUGAAGGCUGAAACUGACAGUACAGUGUGGAGGCUGAAACUGACAGUACAGUGUGAAGGCUAAAACUGACUACAGUGUGAAG
ensembl:lncRNA